AAUAACCAAAUAUAUAUAACACUUGAGCUAAGGUCAAGUUGGUUAGUUUUCUUAUAUUUUCUCGCCCUUGUAGUCCAAGUAUCAUAUACACUCUCAAAAUAAAGAGCUUUGAAUACUAGAAGAAAAACACCUAUACCUAACAAAGUGAGGUGAAUACUCAAAAUGGUAGUCACUUUAUUUAUAUGCUUACA
rnacentral:antisense_RNA from 1 species